UGGGGAGCGAAAUUUAGUAGCGAAGCAUCUGCAUUCACACUGUCGAGAAAAGUCUCUAUCGAGUUUAAAGGCGCCCGUACCGCAAACCGACACAGGUGGGUGAGGAGAGUAUCCUAAGGCCAGCGAGAGAACUGUUGUUAAGGAACUCGGCAAAAUGACCCCGUAACUUAGGGAUAAGGGGUGCCAUCGAAAGAUGGCCGCAGAGAAGAGGCCCAAGCGACUGUUUACCACAAACACAGGUGCCUGCUAAAGAGAAAUCUGACGUAUAGGUGCUGACACCUGCCCGG
rnacentral:rRNA from 1 species